AGUGAGUAGGGCGAGAUGAGCAGCUUCCGCCGCCCUUCCCGCUCGCCGGCGGCGGCGGCGCCGCUGGACGACGAAGAUCUGCUGUCCGAGAUCCUCCUCCGCCUCCCCCCUCAGCCCUCCUCCCUCCCGCGCGCCUCGCUCGUCUGCAAGCGCUGGUGUUGCCUCGUCUCUGACCCCCGAUUCCUCCGCCGAUUCCGCCGCCAUCACCGCCGCAACCCUCCCCUCCUCGGCUUCUUCUUUGAGGAAGUGAUUCCUGCCCGCGGGAUCUCCUUCGUACCAACUCUGGAGCCCCCCAACCGUGUCCCCGUCGGGCGCUUCUCUUUGCAGUUCGACGACGGCGACCGCUACAGGCUCCUCAACUGCCGCCAUGGCCUCGUGCUCAUCUUGUUCGGGAAGCACAACCAGGCCCUGGUGUGGGACCCUGUCAACGGCGACCAGCACCGCGUUGCCGUUCCCCCAAGCUUCUACAUGGCGGCGCCGACCCGGGUCAGAGGGGCAGUGCUCCGGCCUGCCGGAGACAUCCGCCACUUCCAAGUCGUCUUGAUAGGCACGCACAAAGAACAGCAUAAACCAGGGAUCGCCUGCGUUUACUCCUCGGAGACCAAGGAAUGGGGUAAUCUUGUCUCAACACCGCUCCCACCCGAGAAUUCUAUUUACAGCUUUCGCACCAUUGUUUAUAGGGGCAUGGCCUGCGUCCUGGUUGGGAAUUGCCUCUACUGGCUGCUUUCUGAGAGAUCAGCUCUCAUCCUGGAGUUUGAUUUGGAUAUGCAGAGGCUAGCUGUGAUACAUGCGCCAGUGGACAUCGGUGCCAAUAGCAAUUGCCACUUCUCAGUUAUGAGAGCCGAGGGCGGUGGUCUUGGUUUCCUCUUUCUGUCAGAUUUCAACGCCCAAAUAUGGAGCAGGAAGAAGGAUUGUGAUGCUGCUGUUUCAUGGGUGCUCAGAAGAACUGUUCAGCUGGAUAAGCUACUUCCCCUCAAACAAGGGAUGGGCGUAGUGCCCCUGAUACUACUGUUACUAGGGUUGGCUGAGGACAAUAAUGUGUUGUUCCUGAUGGCAGAUGCCGGCAUCUUCAUGGUCCAGCUUGAGUCAUUGCAGUUCAAGAGACUUUCCAAGAUCAGCUUCUGGCGUCAUCUUCAUCCAUUCGAAACUGUCUAUACUGCAGGUAAUAGCACACCAUUACACUCUGCCCGUACAAAAAAAAAUACAAAAAAAAAACCCGGAAUGCUGCUCACUUCAUUCCGUGUUAAGCUAACAAUUUCUUGUAGUGUCUUGCACCAGUUAUUUCUUUUGCUGCUUGAUGAUUUGUUCAUUAUAUAGAAAUAUUGUUCUGUAUCAUUUUCUUUCAUUGCAUCUGUCGUGAUGUUUUAUGUAGUUGUUCUGGGUUGGAAAAAUAUUCGUUAGCAGUGCCGGUAUCUAGCUUAGUUAAGUGUCAUCAGUUCUUUUUUCUGUACCCAGGCGAUGUGUAUUGUUCUAUUGUAUUGUGAUUCCUGUGAAUAAUUAUCAUUGCCAUUGGACUAUGUGAUUUAAGUCUAGCAAACUGCCUCUAUCAGUUUAGUAUAUGAAUAUCCAUUCAAUGAUACAAUUAACACCAAGAACCAAGUACUUUGUGUAAUAACUGAACUAAAUGCCAUUGUUGCUUGCUUAUUCACAUAUGCACCGCGGUGCAGUUUUUUCCCAAGAUGAGAUACAUAACAGUUGUAAGUUCAAGAUAAUUAAAACUAAAUUGAACCAACUAAAUUGUCAAAUAGAUAACUCAAGAUGCUCAUUUGAAAGCAGAAAGCAAGUUAUAUUUCUGUCACUCAAUAUUAUUAUCUCUACUGAUCUUCUAAUAAUUUUAAAUCCGUAACAGCGACUUGCUUUACAUUAAUUCUAUGAACAAUUUGUUCAUUUUGUAACUUGGAGGCGAGUCUCUGCUGCCAGUAUCAAGUCCAUUUGCACCAGGACUUUAUAAUGAACUGACUUCGUUACAUAAUUCAGGCCGAAUGUAUGUAGAGAAAAUCUAAACUGAAUUUUCAUGAUCACAUCUGUUGCUAGGAUUUAUUUGUGUGAGCAUAUUCCAUUAUUUUUGUAUGGCAUGCAGCGAGGUUAAGAAUAAUUCUAGCUGACUUCUUUCAUCUGAUUAGCCAAUAGUUCCAGUGUACAUGUUCUACAUUUUUACGAUAUGAAAGAGUAAAUACUCUUUUGAGGAAUAUGCUUUGAAUUUGACUAAUGUUGUGUCGAACCUGAGUUUUUCUCUCUGAAACUGCACCUCUGACUCUGUGAGUUCAUCUGAAUAUCUCCUUGUUGCCUUCUCUUAUCUACUUGGUUUUAUAUCGGAAUGCCAUUGGUUGUUUGACUUCUUAUCCUUAAAGAAACAUACAUUGGCGGUGAACACGAUGGAGCUGAUCUUUUUGCACAACACAUAGGAUGACUGUCGGGUCAGUCGGUCAGAUAUGCAUAAGGUGAUGUUGACCAGGUUCUUCCAUGUUGGAUAGCAUGCGCUGGUGAACGGUGAAGCGGACUUGGAAGGAAGUAAUCACUUACUAUUUUGUUUAACUUGAGCCUAUUAUGUUAUUUCUGGAACAACUAGCCAACUCGCAUAAAGACGCAAUUCACUUGCUGUGAUUAAUCAGUAGUACUACUCUCA